rnacentral:rRNA from 1 species
CCUACGGGAGGCAGCAGUGAGGAAUAUUGGUCAAUGGACGAGAGUCUGAACCAGCCAAGUAGCGUGAAGGAUGACUGCCCUAUGGGUUGUAAACUUCUUUUAUAUGGGAAUAAAACGUUCCACGUGUGGGAUUUUGUAUGUACCAUAUGAAUAAGGAUCGGCUAACUCCGUGCCAGCAGCCGCGGUAAUACGGAGGAUCCGACCGUUAUCCGGAUUUAUUGGGUUUAAAGGGAGCGUAGGUGGAUUGUUAAGUCAGUUGUGAAAGUUUGCGGCUCAACCGUAAAAUUGCAGUUGAAACUGGCAGUCUUGAGUACAGUAGAGGUGGGCGGAAUUCGUGGUGUAGCGGUGAAAUGCUUAGAUAUCACGAAGAACUCCGAUUGCGAAGGCAGUUCACUGGACUGCAACUGACACUGAGGCUCGAAAGUGUGGGUAUCAAACAGGAUUAGAUACCCGAGUAGUC